rnacentral:rRNA from 1 species
AGUGGCGCACGGGUGCGUAACGCGUGGGAAUCUGCCCCUUGGUUCGGAAUAACAGUUGGAAACGACUGCUAAUACCGGAUGACGACGUAAGUCCAAAGAUUUAUCGCCGAGGGAUGAGCCCGCGUAAGAUUAGCUAGUUGGUGUGGUAAAGGCGCACCAAGGCGACGAUCUUUAGCUGGUCUGAGAGGAUGAUCAGCCACACUGGGACUGAGACACGGCCCAGACUCC